rnacentral:lncRNA from 1 species
AAACAUAAUAAUUGUAUCUUAAAACACUUUAAAACACUUAUAGACCAUGAUUAAAAAUGGGUAAAAUCUAUUGUCUAUCAACUCCCCCAGACUUACCAUUUUGCGUGUCCUCAAGCAAAACAGACGGACAGUCUCUCUGAAAGAGGUUUUGAAAACAGCAGGAACUCACAUGAUUUAAAACUUAGAAUCAUCACCUCUACAAUAUUGCAAUCCACAUCUAAGAAGUCCUAAUCACAGAAGCACAUUAUACAAUAUCCUAGCUCAGCAACCAAAUUCACCUAGCCAACAUCUUAGCAAAUCAUGUAUGACAUUCCCCUCUACCAACAUCAUUUCUUAACAUAAAUAAAUGUGUAUGCUUUACCUUGGGAGUAUCGAUCACAAGACACAUGGACUCUUACCCCAACAGGUAUCUGAGUAAACGGGUAGUCUUGUUCUGGUUUCUUUUACUCUAUAUAUCCCUUCUCUGAAUCCUUUUUAUCUCAAUUCCAAUUAACAAAGAUGCUGAUGCAGUCCAUCUUAUUCACCUUCUUUUCGAUUUUUUUAUAUUAUUUUUUUUUCUUUUUCUUUUUCCUUUCUUGACAAAGUGUAGGUGAAUAGUGGGGUCAUCGGUAAUGUACUUACCCCUCGCUUCCAACAAUGUGUGAUCAUUCUAUUAGAGUAGAAUAAUGAGAUCAUCGGGAAUGUACCUACCCCUCUAAACCGCAAGAAAUCAUCUCAAUCUUUUAUUUUAUUUUAUUAGGAUGCCAAAGGGAGGAGAUAAGGAAACCAAAAUCACUCAGACUUUUACCUUUCAGACCUGAAGGAGGAAUCCGAUCCAGUGUAUACCAAGCCCCAAGACAAGCAGUUAAGUCAAAUUAGGUUGGAGGUCAGCUUCGGUUCCUUCAAACAAUCUCAGCAAGUGUGAACAUAGUUGACAGGUUGAUCCACUUUAGUAUCUUUAGUACUAUCUGCAAUCAGUAAGUCUAGAAUGGUGCUAAAGAGUAGUUAGAUAACAAGCAUGGAUCUAAUAAGUUCAUUAUCCCCUUCUUGAUCCAAUAAAAACAGUUUUGAAAACAUUUUAUAAAACUCAAUAGAUAAGCAAAUAUCAGUAAACAUCCCCCCAGACUUAAAUUACACUGUCCCCAGUGUAUAUCUAGUCGGAGUUAUGGUUAGAACAUAAAUAAUAAGUAGACAAUUUAACAAGUAAGAACGAUAACCUGCUCGACAUCAGUGUCGAUCGACACAAUGAAUAGACAAUCGAUCGAUGUUGAUGAAGUGCUGUCGAUUGAUAGUGACAUGGUCUCAUCGGUCGAUGGCUAGAGCAAUCAUUCGACACAAUGAAGAGACAACCGAUUGUUGGAUAUGAAGCGCUGUCGAUCGAUAUCGAGCUUGUGUCAUCGGUCGAUGUGCUGAGCAAUCGUCUACUCGGUUUUUU